AACGUAGGACACAAGCGUUAUCCGGAGUUACUGGGCGUAAAGGGCGCGUAGGCGGGCUAUCAAGUCCGGGGUGAAAUCCUCCAGCUUAACUGGAGAACUGCCUCGGAUACUGAUGGUCUCGAGGGAGAUAGGGGCAAGCGGAACUGUGGGUGGAGCGGUGAAAUGCGUUGAUAUCCAUAGGAACUCCGGUGGCGAAGGCGGCUUGCUGGAUCUCAUCUGACGCUGAGGCGCGAAAGCCAGGGGAGCAAACGGG
rnacentral:rRNA from 1 species